UUUCCGUAGGUGAACCUGCGGAAGGAUCAUUACAGAGUUUAUGCCCUCCCGGGUAGAUCUCCCACCCUUGAAUAUUUAUACCUUAGCUGCUUUGGCCGGCCGUGGAAACACCAUGGGCUCCGGCUUAUGCGUGCCUGCCAGAGGAAACAAACUCUGUUUUUAGUGAUGUCUGAGUACUAUAUAAUAGUUAAAACUUUCGACAACGGAUCUCUUGGUUCUG
rnacentral:misc_RNA from 1 species